GAUGAACGCUGGCGGCGUGCCUAAUACAUGCAAGUCGAGCGAACGGACGAGAAGCUUGCUUCUCUGAUGUUGGCGGCGGACGGGUGAGUAACACGUGGAUAACCUACCUAUAAGACUGGGAUAACUUCGGGAAACCGGAGCUAAUACCGGAUAAUAUUUUGAACCGCAUGGUUCAAAAGUGAAAGACGGUCUUGCUGUCACUUAUAGAUGGAUCCGCGCUGCAUUAGCUAGUUGGUAAGGUAACGGCUUACCAAGGCAACGAUGCAUAGCCGACCUGAGAGGGUGAUCGGCCACACUGGAACUGAGACACGGUCCAGACUCCUACGGGAGGCAGCAGUAGGGAAUCUUCCGCAAUGGGCGAAAGCCUGGCGGAGCAACGCCGCGUGAGUGAUGAAGGUCUUCGGAUCGUAAAACUCUGUUAUUAGGGAAGAACAUAUGUGUAAGUAACUGUGCACAUCUUGACGGUACCUAAUCAGAAAGCCACGGCUAACUACGUG
rnacentral:rRNA from 1 species